GUCUUUUUAUUUUUAUUUUUUUAAUUUUUUUUUAACUCUCACUUGAUGUUUGUUUUCUCACCUACCGAAGUCAAGAUUAGGAUGGUUCCGAACGAGAAGCCAGCCCACGCCAGUACGCCGAGGAAUUCUACAAUGUCACACUUGCACCACGUCAUCAAUAACAAGUCAAUCACAUUCAUUCUUUUCAAAUAAAAAUACAAUAAAAAUACUUUUUUAUAAUUAUAAUGGGACAUAUAUUUAUAAAAAAAUUAAUUUGAUUGAUUUGUUACGCCACGUCACUAAUAUACCCGUUGUAUUCUAAAAUUUUUUCGGUACGCCACUACCUAAUACCACUCACGGGCGUGAAAAGUUCACAACGACGCGUUUUUUUUUUUUAUAUAUAUUUAUUUAUUUUUUAAUACUCCGAAUCUCUCAUCUCUCUUUAUACAUUACUAGUGAAGGCCCGCGCUUCGCGGCGGGAAAUUUGCGUAAUUUUUAAAAUAUUGUGAACAAAUUUUUUUAAUUUUAAAUUAAAUAUAAAAAUUAUAUAUAGUAAAUAAAUAUAUAUUUAUAAAUAAAAUUAGAUAUAUAUAAAUUAGAUUUAAAAUUUAAAAUUUGAAAUUUAUAUAUAAAAUUUAAAAUUUAAAGUUGUAAAAUUCUCUCUCU
rnacentral:lncRNA from 1 species